AGAGAGUUGAGCUGGAAUGUUAUUAUUCGCAAAUGGGCUCCGUUGUUAUCCAUUUAUUUUCGAUGACGGAGCCUUCAAAUCAACACUAAGUACUGUUGAACAUGAUCUAUACCACUUGAAGUAUUUAAAAACUAAAUUUCAAACCUUUUUAACAUCAUUGACCUAAUAAUCAAAUGGUUUCAAAUUUUGUAAUUUUAAUGGUCGAUAUGAGACAUUUUCUCAUUUAACAGUAUAAAGACAUUCAAAUCAAUUGAAUUUGGUACAAAAUUUUUUUAAACUAUUUAGAAUAAGAUCUAUACUCUCGAUCUUGAUUACAAGAUAUCUAUCAUCACUUUUUAGAAGAUAUUCAUUUUCAGUCGUUCAUUUUUGUGUUCACUCGAUGGACAAGAAAAUAAUAUCGAAAAAGUAUGGAAUUUAGUUUCUAGAUACUUCAAGUCGUAUAGAUUAUGUUCAACAGUGCCGAUCGUCGAUUUAGAGGCUCCGUCAUCGGAAACAAAUGCGUGGCAACGUAGUCCGUUUGCUAUCGAUAGCAUUCCAGCUCAACUCUAUCGGUGUGUUUGGUUCGAAGUCGGAGCCGGAAUCGGAAUUGAAAUCAACAUAAGAUGGAAUCGAAAUCGGAAAGACUCAUUACCUAAUUCUAUUUGGUUUAUCACCUGAAUUGGAAUCGGAAUAAAUCAUUCCCAUUGUCAGUGUUUGGUUCAGGUGAAUGUAAAAAAACGUAAAUCAAAUUAAUAUACUAACAUUAUCUUUAUAAUAUAUUAAUUUAAAUUGAAAUUAAAUAUUAAAAAUUUACAUCAAAAUUUUGAAAUAAUAUCAAAAUUUUAAAUCUAUUUUUUUAAAAAAAAUUAAACUUUGAAGUUAAGUGGAUAAUUCAAAAUAUGAAACUAAAUUUUGAUUUAUUCAAAUUCAAACUUAAAAUUACAAUUUUAAUUUUAAUUUGAAUUCAUAAAUUUAAUUUAAGUUUGAAAUAAAAUUUAAAUAAAACUUUAUAUAAAUUAAAAUUUAAUUUAAAUUCAAAUUCAUAAGUUAUAUUCGAAAUACUUAAUUAAAUUUUAAUUUUUAAUUUAAGUUCAAAUUAAAAUUUAAAAUUAUAUAUAUUUAAUUUUUAAAUUUUAACUCAUAUUUUAAUUAAAAAAAUUAAAAAAAUAAAUUUAAUCCGAAUAAAUAUCCAUUCCGUCCGGAUUCAACUUCCAAUCUGGCCUCCUAGGCCGGAUUGAAAAAAGAGGUGAUUGGGGGAUUCCCAUUCCACUCGGGAAUCGAAAUCGGAAUGGAACUCCCGCGUACUAAACACCCACAAACGGAUUCAUCCAUUCCGAUUCUGAUUCCAAGGUGAAAAAAAGCGAACCAAACACGCCCUAUAUGUAUAUGUACAUAUGUAAUAUGUAUGUAUAUUUAAUCGAAUAAAAUAACUUUAGAAAGGUAUAUAUACAUAUAUCUCAGAAAACAAAAUAACUUCAUUUCUUUCUGUGUGCUGAAGUUCCAGAUUCAAAUAGAUAUAUAUAGUUAGGGUCUGUUACUGAGACUAUAUAUAUAUAUAUAUAUAUAUAUAUAUAUAGAGUCCGGCUACUAUACUAUUGAUAGUAUCAAGCCCUUGGUACUAUUGAGUUUUCUACCGUUAGAUCUAUCCUUUGAUCAUUUUCACCCGUUAGAUUAUACUAUUAAACCAACCACCCACUCAAUCCUAGAGGACCACUAUCAAUUUAAUCGGGACCACUAUCAUCCUAACCGCACAUCCUUUCAUCCAACGGCCAAAAACUCAAUAGUACUAAGGGCUUGGUACUAUUGAUAGUAUAGUAGCAUAAUUCUAUAUAUAUAUAACUAUUAUAGAGAGAGAAGAGAGAGAUGAGAGAGAGAGAGAGAGAGAGAGAGAGAGAGAGGUUGGACUGGGCUACUAUAGUAGCAAAAUUUCAUUGUUGCUACAAUUUUUAGCCUUUUGAUCAACUCUUUUGAUUAUUUCUAACCAUUGGAAUUAAAUACUAUAACCCAGUGGGCCACUCAACCCCAGAGAACCACUCAAUUCUAACCGACUAAUAUCAUCUCACCCUACAAUUUUUCAUCAAGGGUUAAAAACUGUAUAGCAAAAGAGCGUUUUACUAUUAAUAGUAUUCCAGCCUAAUUCAUAUUAUAAAUUAUAUAUAUAUAUAUAUAAUAUAUAUAUAUAUAUAUAAUAUAUAGAGUUGAGCUGGAAUACUAUCGGUAGAAACGGGCUCCGUUGCCACCAUUGACUUUCGAUGAUAGAGUUCUCAAAUCGAUGAUCGCACCGUUAAAUAUCUAUAUCACUUGAAUUGUUUAGAAAUCAAAUUUCAAAUCUUUUCGACAUCAUUGCCUAAUUAUCAAAGGGUUUCAAAAUUUGUAAUUUUAAUGUCGAUAUAAAGCGUUUCUCGUUUAACGGCGUAAAAAUAUUCAAAUCAAUUAAUUUUGUUAGAAAAUUCUUAAACUAAUUUAAAACAAGAUCUAUACUCUUGAUCUUUAUUACAAGACUCUAUUCAUCAUUUUUUUAAGAAUAUUCAUUUUCAGCUCGUUCAUUUUUGGUCCACUUGAUGGAUAGAAAACAAUAUCGAAAAGUUAUGAAAUUUGAUUUCUAAAUAUUUCAAAUGUAUAAUCAUGUUCAACGGUGCCGAUCAUCAAUUUGGAGACUCCAUCAUCGAAACAAAUAAAAUCAUAUAUAUAAUAUAUAUAAUUAUAUAUAUUAAUAUUUAUUAAUAUAUAUAUAUUAUACAUGAUAUGUAGACGCUAUGCUGUAUAGACAUCGUAAGCACGGCAAAGGCCUCCGUGCUACAAGUGUUUUCAAUAUGCCGCUUUCAAAUCGACGAUCGGUCUCCUUAAAAACUUUGAUCUUACAUUAUGAAAUAUUUGAAAAAAUAAAAUUUACAUAAUUUUGUCGGUAGUCAUUACCUAUCAAACUAGUAGUCUACAAAUAUGAACAGGCCUUGAAGAAUAAGAAUUUCAUAAAAAAUGAUGAUAGAAGACUUGAAUUUAAGAUCAGAGGUACUGAUCUUACUUUGAAUAGUAAAAAGAAUUUUCUAUAAAAAUUUCAUCUGAUUUGGAUUGUUUUACACCGUUAAAUUUACAAAUGCAUCACAUCUACCAUUAAAAUUGUCAAUUUUGAGACCUUUUGAUCACUAGCCAAAUGAUGUCGAAAAAUUCUGAAAUUUAGUUUCCAAAUACUUUCAAUAGUGUAGAUCAAGUCUAACGGAGCCGAUCGUAGAUUUGGAAGUCGCAUUAUUGAAAACAACUUGGUAGCACGGAAGCCUCCGUGCUACCGAUAGUAUAGCAGCCGGAUUCUAUAUAUAUAUAGGAGAGGGACCUGCUAUUGUGGUCUUCAUUAGGGAAGCAACAUCAAAUAAAAUAGGAGAUCGAAUCGAAAAUGAAGUGCUCAGUGAUCGCCAUUAAUCAACUAAUCGGGAAGAGUAAUCAAUGCAUUAGUUGCCGCCCCUACGAGACUUCGACGGGCCGAGGAGGCAAGCCGACAUCUGAUAAACAGAAAAAAGCAUCAAUAUUUAAUCUAAGCAUCGCAAUCCUGCAAAGAUACUCUCAUGUUCUACUCUAUUUAUUUUAUGUUAUUGAUCGGUUAAAUGGUCCUUAAAAGCUAAUUAACAAUGUUCUAUACUAAUAUAAUCACACACAUUUCGUUGAACUAUAUAUUUAGUAUCUACUCUAUAUAUCAAGGAGUACGUACCUUCACCAGUUACACACUUACACUUAUAUUUCCUUAUGUCAAGUCAAUGAUAGUAGUACUAUAGGUGUAGCAUGCACUAGAUCUCUCCAAAUCAUAUACUAUGAAAUGGAUUGUUAAUUUGGGUUUUUGUUUAAGGUUAAUUUAUGAUGUGGAAUCUUGUUGAAAUCAAGUAGUUGGUACACAUUAGGGAUUUAGGAUGCUCAAGAACAAUAUGAGAAUAAAUGGAGACUUUGUCAACAUGUGAUUCCAUUAAAGUCGGCAAAUAGGGAAUGGUAAUUGGAUUGUAGAAGGGGAAUCUUUUUUACUAUAUGAUCCAAUAAUGAUCCAUUAUGUACCCAUGUGACUUGGUGAGUUUAUUUCACUUAAACCUAAUCUUGUUUGUACACUAGUUCAAGAUUCAACUCAUUAUAGAAUUAAUGGAGAUGUAUCUCAUGUAUACUUUAGUACAGUGGAAUAUAUUGAAAUAAUUAGUUUAGGCAUAAAUUAUUGUUUAUGUAACUUACACUUUAAGACCAAUAUUUGACUUUUCAUUUUUUUAAAAAAAGGAAUUUUUUUUGCCUUGUACAUAUGCAGCUAAUCUAAACUAUUUACUUAUAUUUACUCGGCGGUACAACAAGAUCAGAGCAAGUGGUAUUAGAUCAGAUAUCACAACUCCAAAUUCAAUCGAUAAAUAGAUCAAAGAGUAAAAUAAUCUCACACCGCAAAUAUAACAUGAUAAUUAAGAUUCGUAAAUAUAACUUUUAGUUACAUAACGACAAACAAAAAGUUGUCGUUGCAAUACUUACAAUUGCAUAGUUGAAAUGAACAAUAUUUCAACUGUACAUCCAACUAAACAAGCCCUAAAUAAACUAACUGUGCUAGAGAGAUGUGUUAAUAUGUAAUUAGUGUGAUAAUUAAUGGCAUACAGAAUAUGUUUAAUUUCCUGGUUAUUAUUCAUAUACGCAGAAACAUUCUAUUUAAUUAAUUUCAAAAUGAUCCACCACCUUAAUUUGGACAGUUUUCAAACUUUAGACUAUCAAUUGAAUGAUGCCAUGGGCCCUGGUUCUAGGAAUUUCCACUGUGGGGCAUGCAUAAAAUCCAAACCCUAACUGUAGCACCUAACUUUAGGAAUUUAACAUUCAAACAAUAAGUUAAAGUUUGUGAAAUUUCCAGGCAAAAUCAAAGGAUUAGGUGGAAGAGAAUGAUGCUAAAUGUACAAUGGUCUAAAGGAAAUUAAUUUGCAUGCGUAUUGACUAGGAAAUUUGUGAUCAUUAGGGUUCUGUUGAAAAGUCAUGGGCACGGGUAACCGUUAAAAACAAUAGUACACUGGUCACUAUAUGCUACACUUGAUUUAAUUUGUACUGCAGAGAAAAUUUUACCAUUUUUACUACCUCCUUGUGAGGUAAAAUUUUCCCAUAAAAAGGAAAUUGCUUUAAAUAUAUACCUAGAAUGUAGACAAAAAUAGACAGUAGAUUUAUAUCACUUGUGUAAGUCAUGGCACUCUCUUUUUUCAAAAAAAUUUUGUACUGCGAGAUUUAUAAUAUGUUUUUUUAAUAAAUUAGUUUUAUACACAUGCAUGACAAUUAAUGAUAAUUAUUUUCAGAAAAGAUCAAAAGAUGCUAUAUAUGAUUGCACGUUUUUCUUGUGAGUAUUUUGUGAUUUUAUUUGUAUCACUUAGAUUGAUACUAUUUUCAUUUCUUACGAGGCUCUCUUUGUCGACCUAUUUAUUAUUUGAAUGUACAUCGAUAUGUUUUGUCUUUGCUUUUUGAUAUAAACUUUGAUCAAAAUCCAAACCCCAAUGACAUUAAUAAUUAAAGAAGUUCAUUUUAAAAGUUCUGAUAUAUUAUAAGACGGGAACUUUGUUCGAAGCUCAUUUUUAAGUUCUAAAAGUCUUGUAAAAUAACAUUUUGAGAAACGAUAAAAAUUUAUUAACUAUUAUAUGUAUGAGAAACUCGAGUGACCAUAUUUAAUAUUUUGAGAUAAUUUUGGAGAUAAACUUAAAAAUUUUCUUGUUAUUGACAUGUGAUACAGGAAGGAGAGUCAUUUUGGGGUAAGUUAUUUAUUUAGCAACCAACUAAGAAUACGUAUACAUACAUAUCAUAAAUUAUUUCCAAGUGAGUCCCCACAUAGAUUAUCUAGCAACUGGUAUAAAUACAACCUAACCACACUCUCUCUCUCCCCAUCCUCUCUCUCUCUCUCUCUCUCUCUCUCUCUCUCUCUCUCUCGCUCUCCCCACACUAUCAUAGUUAGUUAUUGUGCUCAUCCUCCUCACAAUUGAAGCUCUGUUUCCACCAUAUGCAUCCUCUUGUAAUAGAUCUUUCUCUCUCUUUCCUCUUAAUCUCUCUUAAUCUCUCUCUCUCUCUCUCUCUCUAUUGCUUUUUUUUAAAAAAAAUUCUUAUUCUAUGAUAGCCUUGUAAUCCUUUGAGAAAAACCCAUAUCUUGUGAUAGGAUUUUUCGUUUUCAAAUUUUGUUACCUUUAUUUUCUUUUGUUAUUACCACGCUCAAAAUUUUUUGGGGAAAGAAAAAGGAACCUUUUAUGUUCAAUUUGAUAUUUCGUACGAUUGCUAGGGUUAGAUCUCUCCCUGAUGGGGCCCACGUGCACCACCGCCGUGUACGGCCUAGCCAAUCACGUCGCGCCAUGUCGGUCUCGCGCUCGUGUUCUUCGGGUUGGGGAAAUUAAUGGCGCAUCAAUCUUAGAGCUUUUAUUGUUUCUUUUUUUAAAAAAAUUUAUUUAUUUUUUUUAAUUUUUUUUUUUCAAUUGUUUGUUGUUGUCUCGCUGGAUCCCUCUUGCUCUUGUUCUUCUUUGGGGAGGUUUAAUUUGAUCCAAAAUUUAAUAAUAUAUGUGUUUUGUUCUUUCUCCUUCCCUCUGAUUAUUGUGUGCACCUGGUUCAUCCGUAUUUCUAUGGAGUCGUCAAAGAUCGGGGGUUUGUUUGGCUCUGCUUCUGUGAUCGCAUGCGUGUCAUAUGUAUACAUAUAUAUGGUUUCGAUUCGUUUGAAGUGCAUGCAGUAUCAUAAGAGCACUUCCAAAGUGCCGAUCCGGUGCUUUUCGUUUUCACCAUGUAGCCUAGCCAAACAAGCCCUAAGAUGUAAUAGACGUACAUCAGAUGACCGGGCGGUGCACAGAUGUACGAAUGCAUGCACUAGGUGCAUGGAAUAAUAUUCUCUUCUCCAUUAGGUUCUCCAUUUCUCCCCCUCCUCUCUCUCUCUCUCUCUCUCUCUCUCUCUCUCUCUCUUCAAUGGUGCUGCAAAUAUACAUAUAUACAGGAUGAAUGGAGCAGUCGAAGAUUGCGGAUGUGGCAUCAUCAAGAUUCACAUGGUCAUGAUCCAUCCAUGAUCAAAUUCUACAUGAGAAUCUUGAUGAUGCUGCAUCAGCAAUAAUCGACUAUUAUAUAUACACCAGGGAAAAUGCUUUGCCCUCACAACAAUGAGGUUAGCUCUCAGUUUCUUUGUUGAGGUAAUUAAGUUUUUAUUUCUUUUAUUUUUUUUUUUACAAAAUUUUCAUUUUUUAAAUUCUUUCUGGGCAUUACAUGAUGUUGAAUUCUUUAUUAGGUAUUUUAUUAUGUGCUUCCUUGCUUAUCAAAGAUAAAAGAAAAUUUUAAUGGGAUAUAUAGAUAAGCAGUAAUAAUCAUGCAUGGAUUACUACACAACUGUUUGUUCUUCUAUAAAAUGUGGUUGUGUAAUGUGAAUUUCGUGCAAUAAUUCGAGUAUUUGGUAAUAGAUAUAUAACAUUUUAUCAUCAAUCUCAGGAGUAUGAUCAAUAUGAUGAUGGUUCUUGUUACGCAUUUUUGAAAUUUCAGUGUUCUGAUGUAGUGAAUGAUCAAUGUGGUAAAACAUUUUAAUAUCAAUUUGGAUUAAUGCUUGUUUUGAUGAAUCUCGAAAUUUCCGAUCUAUCUCAACGGACGAUUUUUCAUUUUGUGAGUAAAAGUUCUAUGUGGUUUUCUGCUUAUAGUUAUAUAUAUCUAAGGUCUUAUCUUGGUUCUAUUGUUCUUGUACAUUUGUAAAUGAUUCAAAUUUUGGCUCGAUAUACAGCUCCAUUAUUUAGGAGUUAAACAGUGAGAUGAGUACGUAACAAGGUUUUGAUUUUUUUUUUUUUUUGAAUUAUUUUGCAUUUGCAGCAAGAAUUAUUUGAUUUCUCUUGUGCUGAAAUAGUUGCUCUUUACUAAUUAUGUCAGCAACAUAACAACAGCUAGUUCUAUGGAAUUAUUUUCCUUUAUGAAAGUCCCAAAAAAAAACUUUCUUUUUCUACUUUUUUUUUUCUUCUGUUUUUCUGUUUUGAUGCAGUACUUUGUCAUUAUUAGGUUAUUUGUGCAUGCAUGUAUUGUUAAGAUUAUGCUUCAAAAAACUUGUUUAUCCAAUUGAUAUAUAGGAUUAACAGAUAUCUAGCCACAAUCUUUAAUUAAAGGCGAAUAUCAGAGGAGAUAUAAAGCAAUUACAUGUCAGUCUCCAAAUUAAGUGGAAAAAUGAAAUUAAUCACCAUAUAUAUUUGUUCAUAAUUUGUAUGUUUUUUGACUUGGGUAACAAUUAAAUGCCAUUCCUGCACUCUUUUCCUAAUUAAGCACUCUAACUAGAAAGCAUAAGCAACAAAACAUGUUAAUUUCUUUUCAACUCUCAAAAUUUAUAUGCUAAAUUGUUGUCCUAGGAGUUUCUAGAAGAAAAAAAAAUAUAUAACAUCUAAACAGGCCAAUGUAACCUAAAUGAUGAUUAAAUCUCUUGCAGUGUCUAAGGAUUGAAGAGAUGAAUUACAUAGUAAUGUAAAAGAAAAAUAAUAACACAUACCGAGGGCGUGAUCGGAUUCUCGGAGUAUUUUUAUUGUUGCUUAGAAAUAGUGUUUAUAUUUGCAUAAGGUUAAUUAAUGUUUGGAUGCUUAUUUUCAGGUUAUCAAAAUAUAACAAAAAUACAUGCCUCAUAAAGUUGUAAAUUUGUUGUAACAACUACUAUGGUGAGAGGUGUUUGAUUUGAUCAUCCUUAUAUAUACCAUAUGUGGGUGCUCCGAAGAAAAAAAGAAACACUAGAUAUAUACAAAGUUUUUAUGGCAUGGCAUGAGAAUUUUCACCAGGUAAAGAAGUGCAGGGUGACAAUGGAAGUAGUUCUAGCCCGCACAAAUCAAAGGUAUGAUGAUACAUCACUUUCACUCAUUGAAUUUAAAAGUUUCAAUUAAUUUGUACAUUUGUUUUUUUUUCCAUUGUUAUGUAUAUACAUGAGUCCAUUACUCUUUAAAUUAUUGUUCAAUAUAUAUAUAUAUAUAUAUAUAUAUAUAUAUAUAUAUAUAUAUAUAUAUAUAUAUAUAUAGAAUUAUUGCUCUUAUAUGGAUUAGUGAAACAAAAUUCUCCUCCAUCUCAUGUGAACUAGCUGCAGCUAUACUGUAGUAAAUAUUACUCACUACUCUCCAAAUUUUUCAUUGAAUCACUCAAGGGAGCGCACUAAUUUACACCCUCGAGCCUAAUCCUAGCAUAUAUUCAUGUGCGCGCUAAUCCUACGCACUCAUGCCCUAAUCUUGAGCCCUUUCUUCUACCCAUGACUCCUUUCCGAGUAUUCAUAAUGUCCACAAAAGUCAUUUGUAAAAGAAAAAAAAAAUCAACUCCACUGCAGUAAACGAUACGAUUUCGUAGAAUUUUCAAACCAUCACCUCUGAUACAUAAAUCAAGGUUACAUUACAUCUAUUGAAAUACAUGCGGCAUAAAGUAUUGAGAAUGUACGUAUUUUAGAAGCGCGAUUAGGACAUGUCAACCCUAACGAGGAAUGUGAGACCCUCUUUCGCAUGUUUGGGCGCUGUUUGGAUGUGUUGUGUAAUUGGAAGUAAGGAGUUUGAUCUUCUUCUUUUUUUUUUCCUUCUUAAGAUGUUUUGACAUCUAUGUUUUGAUCGGAUAGGAUAUGUUAUUCCCAAAAAAUAAAUUAAAGUCUGAAUAUAUCUAUUUUAGAUAUUUGAUCACACUCUUUAUCUAACCAAAUAAUAUAUGUGUUUUGAGUAAAUCGAAGAGGUACAUGCGAAAACAAGAUAAUCGUCCAUCCAAGCAGGGCCUUCAUGUACAAGACAUUUACGCAAAAGGAAAGUGUAGAAACUUUUUUUUUUUUUUUUGAAGAAAAUUAAACCUCUCUUAACUGUACUAAAAGUAGCUUAGUGGGGGCAUGUGUUUGUGAGUGUACAUAUAUAUAUAUAUAUAUAUAUAUUGCACUAGAUCUUGUGAUGAGAAGGGACCAAAAGAGAGAAGAUCUUUAAAACGAGCAGGUGAUGGGAGAUGGUGAUGCCCACAAAAGAUCAAGUUGGUAGAACAUGCCAAGAGCUUUUCUUUUUGCAACUAGCAGUCACCAGCAGUGGUGGUGACGCAGGUGGACCUAAGUUUACGUACAUCAUGCAAUAAUAAACACUAUGCUUGUCACCUUCAUUGUGGACCAUCUCUCUCAACAGGAAAAGAAAAGGAAACCCUAGAUACUAGCCUAAAGGGGGCAAAAAAAAAAAAGAAAGAAAAAAAAAAGAGAAAAGAGGUGGACCAUUCAUUAUCUGGGCCUAUGUCGAGAGAAAGUGUCCUAAAAGGAUAUGCACAAUCAAGUAGGUAAAAAGGUACGGAAGUUGAUGUGAAUUUUUAGAUCAUUUGACAUAUAUAUAAGAGGGAUGUACUAAUUAUAUAUUGGCAGAGAAAGUUACUGUAUUUGGUUAUUAUAUAUGCUUGUUUUUGGUUAAUUAAUGUUACUAGAUUUAGCAAAUUUGUUGUAAGUAUUUUUUGGACAACUUUUAUCUCAUCUUUAAAAUUCUGAUUUUACUUUAGAGAAAACUUCAAAUACUACUUUGUAAUCUUCUGCCAAAUUAUUGGGAUUCCAAUAGGGUUUUAGCUAGUCAUGACCUAGCGUGACGAAACAAAUUAUUAGAUAGUGAUUGAAUUAUUAUAGAGCGCAUCGAUAAUAACUUCUCAAAGCCAUCAAAUAUUAAUCUGAAUCACAAUGCCCUUCAAAAGCUAACAUUAAUGCGCAAUGCUAAGCUCUCUUCCAACUGUAAAUAAGAGUAGAAUCUGAACCAUAAAGAUUAUACAACUAAAAUAUUUAUACGAACACGAGUACCAUUUCACAAGAGCUUAACAAUAUAUUGAUGAUCAUCUCCCAUGCAAGGAAAACUCAACAUGGAUGAAGUAAUUCUCUGGAUCUCGCAUAAAAACUUUGCUUAAUUUCACAGUACAUUCCGUGUUUUGGUGGUCCAUAUACAUAUAUAUAUAUAACUUUGACCGUGGCAAUUAACACUUCACUACGUACGUACUCUUGUUUACAAUUUUUACCCAGUGGGGGGGGGNGGGGGGGUCUAUAUAUUAACCUUUUGAGGCACUCGUGAAUGAAUGGACCCACUCGAGUGUACCAUCGCUUACUACCUGGUCCUAUAAAUAUUUUUUCAGUGAUGAUCAAUCAUCAUAUAUAGAGUCAUAGCUUAAUAAAUUUAUGCCCAGAUGUUGGCCAUUAUCAACUUCACUACAUGAAGCCAACAGUUUGAUGGCUAUUGAACAUUUGAACGCGUCAGUGUCAAAGUUUCAGAGCCACUGAUCGCAUUAAGUGUUCAUACUUCGUGCGCAGAUACAUAAUGAGUGGUGUACUUUUAGCAGCAUCAUUUAAAGGAGUGUUUGUUUUGAAGUAAAAUGGUAACAAAUAAUUUUCUUGUUAAAAAAAAAAUAGUGGAAAAGAAGUUUAACUUUUUGUAUGUUUGAUUGGUAAGAAAAAAAAUAAAUAAAUAAAUAAAUUUAUGCAGCUUGAUUGUUCGUUUUCUACCGAAAAUCAGCAAAAGACGAAAGCACUUCAUUUUUGAAUUCUAUAAUGCUCAAAAUGGUCCCUCGACUGUACAAAAUGCUCAAAAUGGUCACGAAAAAUUACCAGAUUCAAAUGCAACCCAUAGAUGAAUAACAAAAGUCUCUCGAGAGAUUGCGGUCGCUAUGAAUAAUAAUAAUAAUAAUAAUAAUAAUGAAUCAAAUCGAUCUAAAGCCCUAACACUCCAUUUACAAACAAAAAUUUUCUAUUCAUCUCGCUGUACUGAGGAAUGAAUGAAACAUCAUAACCCUGUGAUGUUAAUUGCUAUUGCUACUAUACAAGAAAGAAAGAAAAAGGAAAAAAAAAAAAGAACUAUAACAAUGUUUGUUAGUAGGGGACUAGAAGAGCACCAAAUGGAUGGAUGAAAAUGCGUCAUCUCCUGCCAUGAGCUUUUCACAAAUCACAUUGAGUUACAAGACCAGAUCUCUUCGGAAGGGCCGUCCCUGGGAAACAAUUAUGUAAAAUGAAAAAAGAAAAAAAAAAUCAAGUAAUACGGAAAAAUUCCACCAGAAGAGAACCCCGAUAUUCCCUAAUGAUUGAAAACAAAGUGCCACCACCUUUUUUUAUUCUUCGUUCCUGUUUCUGAUGUUGGUAAUUCUGCACAGGCACAAAUAUACAGGGUUAAUCAACCAAACUGGUUCUCAAAAGAGAGACAAAGGCGUAAACGUUACUGUUUGUAUAGGCUAUUUUACUGCAAGUUCAUUCUCAUGCAAUGACAAGAGGAUAUAAGAGAGGAUUUGUUGAGGUUUGGAGAAAAGGAUGCAAUCUGAGCAUGUUAAGUUACUUCAAGUAUAUAAAAGAUAAAAUUUGUCAACAAAGGAAAAUUUAAUUUGUUAAUAUGAAUGAUGAAUCCAAUCCUAUACACUGCACUUCUAAUCAAGCCUGGUACCUAAACAACUGCUUUUCAGAGUAAAAACAAGCACAAACUUUUUGUUAUGAUAUAAAGCCCGAAUAUUCGGAGAUAGAAUUACCAAGACAGCCACAACUUUUUACGUCGGCAAUCAGAAAGAACUAGGAAAUAGGCAUAAACUAUAUAACAGUCUUCAUUGAUUAUGAUAGUUUGGAUUAGGAAUUGAAGUAGAUGAACAGAUAACAGCAGAAUAAAAAUUAAUCCCAUGAUUUUGGUAAGAAGUCCAAAUGAAUCCCUCAAAGUCAGAUUUGUGCCCAGCUAUAUAUAGAUUCUUGAAAAGUGAAUGACUUCGGAGAGGUAGUAUGUUCUGGUUUAUAACUGAGAGUUUAAGGGAGGAAAAAAAAAAGAAAAAAAAGAGCAAGACAAGACAAAAGACGGCGUUACCUCCUUCUGGAUAUAUUGAGUUGUAGUGCACCUCAGCCCAGAAACUCAAGAAUAUCACUGGAAAAGAGCAAGAUAAUACAAGUUAUGGAACUACCAAAAUGUAUAAAAAGUGCCAUAACAUGUAUCUUCCAAACUUCAAUAAGAUAAUAAAUUAUAAAUGACAAUAGAAACAGCUACAUAUGAAUCAAAAUUUUCAUGUAAUUACAAGCAUUAUUGACUUCACAGAAGAAUACAAGACUCGCCGUAAACUCGUACAAAUUCUGUGUGUUAUGAAAAUUUACACACAUACAUUGGCCUCACAAGACAGCCAUGACUACUCACAGUUGAGCUUAGAAGCUCUUAAGUAGAAGAGUUGAAUGUAAUGCAAAAACAAAUGCUUCCUGUUAUUUAAAAAGCAGACCAGAUUUCAAAAUCGUUGAUGUGGUUGGGCAUGAGCACUUUUCAGCACAAUUCUCUAAGUCCUUCCAAUGGGUUGCCCACUACCAAAGGGGCAGUAAAGAUUCUAAAAUCGGACACCAUAUAUGGAAAGAAACACUACUAUCCAAUGCAAAAAUCAACUUACUGAUUGAAAUCUUUUAUUUAAUCAAGUAACCAAAGAUAACAUAGAUACCUCGUUUAGACUUCUGAACAUCAGGCAGUAUUUCAAUGUAGCAUGUAUCCCUGAAUGAUGUAAGGAUGAAAAUCUUGACGCCAUACUGCAAACGUGAAUUUUUGUACAAAAUCAGCACAAAUAUUAGGACAUAUUGAAAGCAUAAAAGUCCUUAAAAAUGUACAAAAGCCUAGUAACUCAUGAAUCUAUUUGAAAAUAAAUAAUGAAUUUUCUAGAUAUACCAUGUUUUGGAACAAAAAGCAUUUGAUACGGUGAGAGGAAUGUUCUAAUAUUACAGCAUAGAGCAACCUUUUGCCAACGCUAAUAAAAUCUCUAAACUUUAGUUGGCCAUAAUAAAUUUCUCGUGUUGUUAAGAUAAACACAAACUAAUACAGAUCGCAUGCACCACUACAUCUCUGUUGUAUCCUACAAGCAGAAGAACUGUGUAUGACAGCACAAAACCACAAGAAAACCACAAGUUGAAGAAAUGUACUAAAAGACACAAGUAAACAGUGUGCACUAGCGACGGUGUAUCUAUGUUGGUCUGAAAUAUGGUUAAAGAAAUACGGAGAACAUAGCUAAAAAGCACCAUUACCUUGAAAAGCUAAACAAAGAGAACUAAAACUAGAUAAAUACAGUUAGUGAGAACUCAGUGCAUGCAGAAAAUAAUUGGGACAAGUCCCAAAACCUUGUAUAGCAAGAUAAAGAACCUAUCCCAAUGUAGUAAUGUUAUAAUCAUAUAUGGUCUGCAACUACAAGCAAACGUAGGUUUUCUUUUUUUUUUUAGUAUGGAUAAUGAAUGUGGUCUACUUAGCCAUAACACAUGGGUUAAAAAGGAAUCUUUCUAUAAAUAUCAAAUGGAUAUAGAUUUUCUCCAUCACGAUAAGUAGCAAAGAGAAAUGUUUCAGUCUGUUAGGCCCCAUUUCAAUAGUACCAAAACAAUAUAAAAGUCACAGUACCUACCUUUCCUUUAGAACACCAAAGCCUGUCCUUCACCUACUAUUAGGCUACUCAGAUGGCUGCUAUACAAAUAGUCUUCAUUACAAUAAACCAAUUAUACUCAUAAAUCAUCAGUCGACAAAGAUGCUUUUAUUAGUGGUUCAAAGGCUCAGCAUUUGAACCAACUUUUCAAAAAGAAUCCUUUAAUGGCGAUGACUACGCAAAUAACCCCCCCCAUAUCAACCACAACGCAGACGUAUAUAACAAAAUUUCUGGACAAGAAUAAAAUUCUUAUUAUAACGAAAUGAAAAGUUGACGAAGUUAAAAGAAACAAUGUAAUAGGAAAAUACAGUGGACCUACCGAGUCAGCAGCAGCUUGUAAUGUGACGUGAUCACCCCAUUCACCACUCCUGCUUGUCAGUGCAACAUGGUUAAAAUGGAAGCAUUACUUCAUAAGCUGUUAGCAAACAGCAUCAUCAGUUAAAAAACAAAAAAGUAUUAUAACUCACUUGGACAUCUUUUCCAGAUAGUCAUCAUAGGCCAUAGGAACAUAUCCUUCAUACAUCUCUCGGUGAGACUUUAGCUGAGGAUCAAUUGUAAGAGAAGAAGACCACCAAAUCAAGAUGCAAAAUCGCAACACUCUAAACCAAAAUAAUAGUAUUACGACGGCUAGGAAAUAAAGGGAAAAUGCCAUACAAUUAAAGAAUAAUAGGUCAAAUUAAAUGUAUGAAGUACAACAUUGCCUAACGAGCCAACCUGAUUGACAACUUGCUGCCUCACAAAAUCAUGGUGUUCAGUAGUACGGUAAAACUGAUCUGACAGCGCUCUGAACUGGAAAGAUAAAGAAUUCAGGAAAGAGAAACUGACGAUAUCAAAAAACUUGAAAGAAAUAUAGGAAAACACCAACAGAGCAAACCGAUAAUAUCAUUAUGAUGCUUUUUCAGUACAUGUCCCAUCUACUUCGAUGGUUUUCGAAUUAGCUUUAGCUCGUCAUGUAAAGUGUAUAUGUUAUUGGAUAGAUAAUUAUGGAGCAUAAACUAUUGUUUUAUGCUUUCAGUCUUAUUAAUAGAAAAUAAAGUUAACUGACCUGGCAAUUACCAUCUCCCUGAACCUUACGUUCAACCAAAUCAUAUAACUGCAACCUACACAAACAAUAGAUUCACCAUAAAUAGGCAGAAAAAUGAUUACAGACACAAAGGCGCUGAAUAGCUAUAGAUAUAUGAGUCAUCUUCAAUCACCAAUAUUAACAACCAGAUGCAAGCACCGCCAUAAUUAAGUAAUUAAUGGUGGCCAUGGCACUGUCACGAUGAAUUAACUAAGCUCUCCCUAAAACCAAGUGGGAUAAGUCUGUCUUAACUUAUGAUGAUCAAAGAAUUACUUCAACAUCGCAAAUACUACCCGACUUGCCCGGUGGACAAUUCACUUAUGAUACAAAUAUGCAGUAACAACAAACUCAAUUUAUCAGUAGCCUAAAAAUACAUAUUGCUUAAUGAUAAAUUACAUGAUUCUCUUUACCAGCCCUUGUCUUUUGACCUUUAGUAUUUCGAAAAUACUUUUGAUACAUUUAUUUUAUAUACCUUCUAGUCAAUUUUUUAUUACAAAGGUGUAGUUAUUAAGUGCCCUGUACUUAAAAAGAUAUUUGGAUAAAUUACAAGACAGAAUCACUUACAGUCUCAUAAACAUAUUUUUGAUAUACCUCUUUUACUGACAUUAGGCAUUUAUGAUUUGUGUAGCUUCAGUUUAUUUGCUACAAAAACUAAAUUCAAAAUCAGCCUAUUAUUACCAACUUUUAGAAUACUAUUAUUGAUUUAUUAGGUUCAGAUAAUUACUUACAGAUACAUUAAAUCGAUUAGGUCUAAUAUUGGCAUUAUAAUUAAUAUCAUCUAUGACAAUUUAAGAUAAAGAAUACAGUCUUACAAGGAGAUAGAAUAUCUAUUAAUUCAGCAUUACCUUCCAAGAAGCCUUUGGUGAUCUGAAGUGGCUUCAUCAACAGAAGGAAUUUCUCCAUUUAUCCUAGGAACGUGCUGUAUUGCAAACAAUCAGAAAGAAAUUUUUUAAAAAAAUUGCAUGUACAUCACUACGCUACCUCCAAAUGACUAGAUCAGUUAUAUUAUAAUGCCCAAGAUAAAGAUAAUGGCUACACAGAAAAUCUCAAAAUAUGAUGAGUUAAACCUCCUAUCCAGAUAAAUUUUGUUAUGCCAAGACAAUAAUGACAAGUGAGCAUACAAAGACCUUCGUAAGUUGAACAAAACUUAAAACCACGUACAAAGGUACUACUGAAAAUUCAGUUUAAUGUAAAGUUUGAUCCUAGAAGAUCAGCUAGUAACAGAUACUUAAAAAGGAACAAAAUACUGGCAUGAGACUAUGACAGAUAUGAGUUACAUAGUGAUCUGUUCAGCAAGAAUCUUCUUUCUAAAAAUCUUCUUUCUAGACCUCUUAAACCAAUACCAUGCUACAAUUUAUUCACUUUAGCAAGUUGCAUUUAACAUUUUAUGUGCAAUUAGGUGCUACACUAUUUUCUACAAAAGAUGCAUCUUCAAGUUGCAAAUUGAUAGGUAAGGUUGCCAACUAUUAGGCAUUAAGUUUUAACGAGUAUCUUUACUUAAUAUAAAACAUGAAUCAUCUAUAACAAUUUUAUAGGACGUUCAAUUAAAACUUCAUGAGGGAAUGAAGAAAUUAUUCAGGAUCCACUCUUCAAGUCAACCAUCUUCUCAGUCCCAGAGACUUUUUUGUUUCUUUUUUAUUUUAAGUAAACACACAUGGAGAUUCCCUCAGGUCUCAACCUCAACUAUAGGUCAUUUUGAAGUAGGCCCCCACACUUUUUUGUUUUUGCUUUGAUUUGAGUUGGUUUAGUCAAUUGAUGGAAACUCAUAAAAAUUAACGGCACCUUAUUAGCUUUUAAUCAUUAAUUACUAUGGAAAUCCACACUUCAUCCAGAUGAAAUGUAGCUAGAGAAGAAGUCAUCUUUCAAACGAAAAAAGAAGAUAAUGAAACUCCAAAAGCUCGGAACUUACAGCAAUAGGAACUAGUCGAUCGAAUCUUUUGCCUACUUCACCAUCUAAAGCAGAAAAGUCAUCCGUGAGCUCUAUAAACACUGUAUUGUCAUCAUGCGACUUUUCACCAGGACUUGAACAAGAACUGGUGGUUCCCAUAUCUUCCCCACCUUCCACUAUGCACCGUAAAUAAGAUGGCCGAAUUAAAAGAAUUGCAGGAGAGGAAUAAAACGGCUAUGGUACAAAAGAAAACCCAAAUAAUAUAUACCCGAAACUAGCUGACUCAUAGGUGGGCCAGACCAAUCUUGCAUGAGAAUGGAUGCAUGCAGUUGUUGUUGAUCUGCAUGUGAAUAUCCAGAUGCUUCAGCGAAUGCAACCUGAGAAAGUUCUUCCUGGUAAACAUGUGCAAUAAUCUCAUCGUUCUCCACUACAGAGUGAUCUGUUCCAUGUUUACUUUCACCGGUGUAAUCUCCGUUGUAUAUACUGACAUCAAUUUGACUUGUGCUCCCACAAUCCACAGAAUCGGCAGAUGGGUCCCCUUGAAGAAGAUGGAGACCCCACCGGACAAGAUCGGGAUCUUGCUCACACAUAAUCAUCAAUUUUUACUUUGUAACCUCCUUGAAGAAUACCAGGUCAGAUCUAUGAAUAUCCUCAUCAAGAUUAUUGAACACGGAUUCUUUAUGUCAAAAUGAGCGAUAAUCAGUAUGCGGCCGUUCUUUGAAUAGUUAUUUAUACAAAAGCAGCACGUGAAACGUAUUUCAUGUAAAAUAAAAAUAGGAAAUGUGCGGCAACAGACGUCGAUUCAAAUGCCAAAUAGUCAUAGUUAGAGAACAAAUCAUAUAUACAUAUUUACUUAGGUGGGAAAUGGAGAUGCUUACUUUUUGUAACAAUUAUCUUCAGAGUUUCUUUCGCAUGGAUCUUAAACUAAUGUGGUAAAAUUAUAUCCACCAUGUGCAAAUCAUAAUCUUGAGAACAAAUUUCACAUAAACGACACAUAAUUUCCUCUGUUGCUAUUACGAUCAUCGUAUCCUGAGAAUACAAAAGCCCUAACUAAUCAUAUCCAAGUAAAUACCCCAAAAUUGGAACUUCGUAACCCUAAGUUUCUUCGUGAACAUUUGGGCAUAACAAAAUGAGCAAUUCUACUAAUCCUAUCGAUUAUACCCCAAAAAUUAUACGAAUUUUGGAUCGUUGCAUCGAACCAUCAUCCAAAUUAGCAAAAUACAUAAAACCACGCAAAAAUCGCAUUCAAAUUAAGCAAAUUUCACCACCAAGAAGCCCAAGAAGCCCAAGAAAUCCUAAAUCAUCGGAAAGACCCUUACUUUUCGGGAAAAAAAGAACAAGAAAUCCACAAAAAACACAACAAAUAGGAAAAGAGGAACACAAAUUACUUGCGAUCGAAGCAACCACUCCACUCCUACGAGGAGAUUUAGCGGAGGAGUCGAAAGCGAAAGGCGAUCUCUUCGAAACCAAGCAAUAUAUAUAUAAUAGAGAUAGAGAGAAACCAAAAAGGAAAAAAAACGGGAAGGGUUUUGUUCGGGACGCGACGAAUUGAAUUAUAUAUAGUGCACUGGGGAGGUGUACACCAAUAAAAUAUCGACACGUGGUGAGAGACAAAGAUGGUCAGGUUAGUUGCUACGUGGCGGUGGAUGAAUGGAUAAUAUUACUAAUAAUCGCCACCGAUAAAUAUUUGCCUACACCUAGCUCACCACGUCAUCCGUAGACCAUCUUCUUUUCUAAACUAUACUCCAAAAAUUUCCCGUGCAUUGUAACUUGCCGUAUGCAAUUUAAAAAAUUAAAAAUUUACCGCAUAAAUUGUAAUUUUUUUUUGUAUAAUUCUAUUUGUUAAUUAUGUACUAAAUUCAACCAGACGAAGGUAUAAAAAAGGAUAAAUUGGCCAUUUUAUUUAUAAAAAAAUUAAUAUACGAUUACCGAAAUAUUAGUUUGGUUUGGAUUAUAAGGGAGCUUGUAUAAAGUUAUUGCUAGUUUUUUAUAUUAUCUAGUUUAUAUAGUAAAUUGCAAUUUUAUCAAGUAAACUAAAAUUUACAUUUUUUUUCUUUUUAUUAUGGUGUGGUAGAAAAUAUUUUCUAUGACAAGUAUUUUAAGUAAAAAUAGUCACAGCAAAUUAAAAUCUGAUUAUCUUGUAUGAAAAGUAAAAAUAUUUAUUUUGUCAUUAUUUCAAAAGAACCGAUAUUUUUCAAAACUAAUUUUGAUAUUGUCAAAAUAAAUAAAUAAAUAUAUAUAUAUAUAUAUAUAUAUAUAUAGAGUAGGGAGCACUUUGUACUCAUAAGUUUUUUUGAGAGAUAGAUAGCACGCUACCCGCUUCGUUUAUUUUAUUUAGAAAUAAACUUAGCUAGAAAUGUGAAUCAACUAGGAUUCGAAUUUGGGUCUCGGGUAUCAAUCAUCAAGCCCUUUACCACUUGCUCUAGGGACGGUCGGUCACUUCAUACUUAUAAGUUGUUUUCGAUGUUGGGCUUUUCGAAUCGACGAUCCACAGCGUUAAACAUGAUCUAGAGUAUUUGAAACUUCUAGAAAAUAAAUUUCGUAAUUUUUCUAAAUCAUUAUAAAGUCCAUCAAGCGGGUGUAAAAUGAAUGGUUAAAAUCGAACGACAUUCUAAAAAUGAAUGAUUGGAUUCUUCAAUUUAAGAUCGGAGUUAUUAAUCUUUAUUUAGGUAGUGAGUAGAAUUUUCUAUCAAAAAUUCAAUCUAUUCUGAUUCUUUUUCACCGUUAAACUAGCAAAUAUCUCAAACCGGCUAUUAAAAAUUAUCAAUUUUGUGAGCCUUUGAUCAUAAGGUAAAUAUUAUCGAAAAUUAUAAAAUUUGAUUUCUAGAAGUUUUAAAUACUCUAGAUAACUUUUAAUGGUGUGGAUCGUCGAUUCGGAAGCUUUAUUAUCGAAAACAACUUAUGACUACGAGGGCGAUCGGACUCAUAAAAGUAUGGUAGCUGGACUCUAUAUAUAUAUAUAUAUAUAUAUAUAUAUAGUUGAGCUAGAAUACUAUCGAUAGCAAAUAGGCUCCGUUGCCAUCCAUUUGUUUUCGAUGAUGGAGCCUCUAAAUCGAUGAUCGGCACCGUUGAACAUGAUCUAUACCAAUUGAAGUGUUUAGAAAUCAAAUUUCAAAUCUUUUCGACAUCAUUUGCCUAAUGAUCAAAAGGUUUCAAAAUUUGUAAUUUUAAUGGUCGAUACGAGGCGUUUUCUCGUUUAACGGCGUAAAGAAAUCCAAAUCAAUUGAAUUUUUGUUAGAAAAUUCUUUAAACUAUUUAAAACAAGAUCUAUACUCUUGAUCUUGAUUACAAGACUCCUAUUAUCAUUUUUUAAAGAAUAUUCAUUUUCAGCCGUUCAUUUUUGUGUCCACUCGAUGGAUAAGAGAACAAUAUCGAAAAUGUAUGAAAUUUGAUUUCUAAACACUUCAACUGGUAUAGAUCAUGUUUAACGAUACCGAUCGUCGAUUGGGAGGCUCCAUCAUCGAAAAUAAAUGGGUGGUAAUAAAGCUUGUUUACUAUCGAUAGUAUUCUAUCUCAACUCUCUCUCUAUAUAUAUAUAUUAUGGUAAAAAAUAACG
rnacentral:lncRNA from 1 species